CCUUGGCCUUGACAUACUAAGAACUUUCCAGAGAUGGAUUGGUGCCUUCGGGAACUUAGAUACAGGUGCUGCAUGGCUGUCGUCAGCUCGUGUCGUGAGAUGUUGGGUUAAGUCCGCAACGAGCGCAACCCUUUUCCUUAUUUGCCAGCGGGUAAUGCCGGGAACUUUAAGGAUACUGCCAGUGACAAACUGGAGGAAGGCGGGGACGACGUCAAGUCAUCAUGGCCCUUACGGCCAGGGCUACACACGUGCUACAAUGGUCGGUACAAAGGGUUGCUACCUCGCGAGAGGAUGCUAAUCUCAAAAAGCCGAUCGUAGUCCGGAUCGCAGUCUGCAACUCGACUGCGUGAAGUCGGAAUCGCUAGUAAUCGCGGAUCAGAAUGCCGCGGUGAAUACGUUCCCGGGCCUUGUACACACCGCCCGUCACACCAUGGGAGUUUGUUGCACCAGAAGUAGGUAGUCUAACCGCAAGGAGGACGCUUACCACGGUGUGGCCGAUGACUGGGGUGAAGUCGUAACAAGGUAGGCGUAGAUGA
rnacentral:rRNA from 1 species